UACUGCCUACGGGAGGCAGCAGUGGGGAAUAUUGCACAAUGGGGGGAACCCUGAUGCAGCGACGCCGCGUGAGUGAAGAAGUAUUUCGGUAUGUAAAGCUCUAUCAGCAGGGAAGAAGAUGACGGUACCUGACUAAGAAGCCCCGGCUAACUACGUGCCAGCAGCCGCGGUAAUACGUAGGGGGCAAGCGUUAUCCGGAUUUACUGGGUGUAAAGGGAGCGUAGACGGUAUGGCAAGUCUGAUGUGAAAACCCGGGGCUCAACCCCGGGACUGCAUUGGAAACUGCCGAACUAG
rnacentral:rRNA from 1 species